CAGUUAAGAGCCCUGGGUCUGGAGCAAAACUGCUGAGGUUUGAGGCCCCGUUUUGCUGCUCACUAGCUACAUGAUCUUGGGCAAGUUAUUUAAGCUCUCUGAGCUUCAGUUUCUUCCUCUGCAGAAUGGGGAUGAAAGUGGACUACUACCUCAUGGCAUGUUUUGAGGAUGAAAUGAGCUAAUAAACACAGUCUUCAGCCCUACAUUAGGAUGGCCUAAGGAAAACAAGAAGACUGAAUGAUAUUCCCUGGUUCUCACUCUGUCAUCCAAGCUAGAGUGCAGUGGGGUAAAACACGGCUCACUGCAGCCUCGAUCUCUUGGCUCAAGCUAUCCUCCUGCCUCAGCCUCCUGUUUAUCUGGGACCACAGCUGACUUAUAUAAGUUAUUAGUCUUCUAGAAGGAUCACAAGGAACCAGCAUCAAAGAAAUGGAAUCCAGCUAAUUCCCCCAAGAAACUGAAGUUUUCGGGACAUGACUUGUGAAAGGCAAACAUAAGCUGACAUCUUUUCACACUGAACAGCAAGAGCCAAAGUGUAUCCGAAAAGCCAUUGUCAAAACAAGGAGUGAGAACAGCUGGGGUCAAGACCUAAUGAAGGGCAUCACUCAGCCUCUUUGAGCCUCGGAUUCCUCAUUUGUAAAGUGGGCAUAAUAAUACCUCACAGGGUAGUUAUGAGGGCAAAUGAGAUAAUGGACACGAAGGCACCUGUACACUCCACGGUGCUAUCAGAAUAUUGACUAUUAGUGCUUUCAUCACGCGGCUCCAUCCAAACCCCUGCUUUCCCUCACUCCAGCAACCUGGCGGUUCCCCGCUCCAGGGAGGUCACCCUCUUGAUGCUGAAUUUAGCACGGACACCUGAUGGGCACAGUGCACUGCAGCCCAGAGCUCCUGAGCUCAAGCCAUCCUCCUGCCUCAGCCUCCAAGUAGCCAGGACCACAGGCACGCACCCUGAGGAGGAAGAAAUACCAGGUGCGCAUGCUCCAAGAAAAAGCCAUCUGAGGACGCGGCAAGAAGGCCGCCAUCUACAAGCCAAGGAGAGGGGCCUCAGGAGAAAUCGAACCUGUCACACCUUGAUCUUGGACUUCCAGCCUUCAGAACUGUGAGAAAGUAAAUUUCUGUGUUCAAGCUACCAGGUCUGUGGGAUUUUUUAUGGCAGCCCUAGCAGACUAAGACAGGCAUCAAUGGUUCCAAUGUUUUCAUUUUUUUUCCGGUAAGCAGACCGAAGCCCAGAGAGAUGAAGCAAUUUGCCCAAAGUCACAUACCAAGUUAACUGAAGAGUUGGGGUUAGAAUCCAGCUCUUGUGACUUCUCUCUUUUCAGUUUCCCUUCCCACUCCCCCCACUGAAAAGCUUUUGAGUGACUCUUUUAGAAAUCCCGGUUCUGUAUAUGAAGCAGAAUUGAGCACAGCUGCUCUAAUGAAGGGCUCAGAGCUCCCAGGCUUUUCUCUCUCCCCUGCCCCUUUUCCCUGUUGCACCUCUGCAGUGUCCUGAGGGUUGAUGGAAUCUAGUUUGAAAGCUAUUGCUCUACCUCACUGCCUCCUGAAUGCAAUGUCACAAAUUUUCCCAACUUGCCAUUUCUCUCACACUGACAUAAAGCAUUAGAAACCUGUUGUGAAGUAGGAAAGCUAACUGGGUCAGUAGCUGAUAAGAUAAUCUGGCCUAGGGGAUAGAUGAUUAGGAUUUCAGAGAAGGAAAGGUCACCCAAUUGAUUUGACUCUGUCCUGGGGCGAUGAUAUGGUGAAGAUUUCUACAGAUGCAGCAGAAACAUCCGGAAACCAGGUGUGUCCCAGCUCUGGUCUGGGAACCAUUUCAUAAAUUGGCAAAUAUCCAGGAUAUACACAUGGCUAAUUCUGAGGUGUACUGAAGUUUCAAUAAAGCUACUUUGGUAAUGACUAGGAGAAGAAAAUCCUAUGGCUGGACUUCAUUAAUGUUGUAUGGCCAAGGACAGUGUUUCUCUAAUUAUGGCCUGUGAACCUCCCUGGAUCUCGAUCACCUGCAUAUUUGGGAAUAUGCAGGUUCCAGGGUCCCACCUGAAACUACAGAAUCAGUAUUGAGAUCCCAGGUGAUUCUCAUGUACACUCAAGUGUAAGAUUAUUAGCACCUGGACUUUGGAAGCAGCCAGAUAAAAGUUUGGAUCCUGGGUUGGCUACUUCCUAGAUGUGGCCAAGUCAUUUUACUUGCCAUGCUUUUGCUUUUCUUGUCUGUAAAGUGGACAUGAUACCUAUUUUACAGGGUGGUUUUGAGGAAUAAGGUCAGCAUUAAACAUUUAUCCUCUUUAGGGAGACAGAGAGAGGAGAUGAAAUAGAGUAGAAUUGAGAAAAGCAGUUUCUUAGACCUCCCUGUGAAGUUUUUCUUAUUUCAACAAAUAAUAAAAUAAAAAAUUCAUACACUUUCUUAGUGCUUGUUUGGACUUAAGAAUUUAAAAAUAACUUGAGAGUUUUAUAGGCAUCAAGGAUGAUGUCUGAGUGCUGGAAAUACUUGACCUUUGGCUGGAAGGUGGAGUGAAGGUGCCAGCGGACUGAACCCUGGGAGACUGUCUUCUGUUUUAUGAAUGUGGUCAUGCUCUGAGUUAAAUGAUGUCCCUGGUAAGGACAUCUCCCAGAAAAGCUUAGAAAUCAGCUGUAAUCCUUGUUCCCUGCAAGACCCUUGACUUGGAUGUUAAGAGUUCCCUAUAAUGAUAAUAGCUACCUUUACUGAGCACUACUUGUUAGCCAGGCAUUGUGCUAAGUGCUUUAUGUGCAUUAUGUUAUGCAAUCCUGCAAAUACCGUUACGGGGCAGGUAAUAUUAUUAAUGCUAUUUUAACAAUGACAAAAGUAACUCACUGAUUAGGACUCUGAGUAGUAUCCAUACCACUGUAAGGAUAACAAAGAGCAAAGGCAGAUUAGGUCCGGCUCUGCUGUUUGUUGGGUGUUUUACUUAGAUUUAACCCCUAGACAAGUCUGAGUCUUGAUAUGGUCUUGCCUAUUACUCUACUUCUUUCUCUGCUGUGCACAGAUGGAGACUGGCAUCUGUAUUAAUACCAGGUUGUGUGCUUAAAGUCCAAUGAAUAGCAUUUUUUUUUUUUUUUGAGAUGGAGUCUCAUUCUGUUGCCCCGGCUGGAGUGCAGUGGUGCGAUCUCUGCUCACUGCAACCUCCGCCUCCCAGGUUCAAGCAAUUCUCCCACGUCAGCCUCCUGAGUAGCUGGGAUUACAGGGGUAUGCCACCAUGCCUGGCUAAUUUUUGCAUUUUUAGUAGAGAUGGGGUUUCACCAUGUUGGCUAGGCUGGUCUCGAACUCCUGACCUCAGGCGAUCCACCUGCCUUGGUCUCCCAAAGAGCUGGGAUUACAGGCGUGAGCCACUGCACUGAGCCCAGUGAAUAGCAUUUAAUAAAUGUUUGUAAAUGCUCUGAAUGUACUAUGAUAAUACAACAAAGUUGUACACAUAAGAUUAUCAUAGCAAAAAAUGGAGAGUAACCUUGGUUACUUCUAUAUAGUUAUUUAAUUUUAAUUUUUUUUUUUGAGAUGGAGCCUUGCUCUGUCACCCAGGCUGGAGUAUAGUGGCGUGAUCUUGGCUCACUGCAACCUCCACCUCCUAGCCUCCUAGGUUCAAGCGAUUCUCCUGCUUCAGCCUCCUGAGUAGCUGGGACUACAGAUAUAUACUACCAUGCCCCUUUAAUUUUUGUAUUUUUGGUAGAGAUGAAGUUUCACCAUUUUGGCCAGGCUGGUCUUGAACUCCUGACCUCAAGUGAUCAGCUCACGUCUGCCUCCCAAAGUGCUGGGAUUACAGGUGUCAGCCACCGUGCCAGGCCAAUUUUUUUUUUUUUUUAGAGACAGAGUCUUGCCUUGUCAGCCAGGUUGGAGUGUAGUGGUAUGAUCACAGCUUAUUGCAACCUCGAACUCUUGGGCUCAAGUGAUCCUCCAGCCUCAGCCUCCCGAGUAGCUAUGGCUACAGGUGCAUACAAUCAAAUGCCUGGCUAAUUAAAAACAUUUUUUUUUCUGUAGAGAUAGUUUCUCGCUAUGUUGUCCAGGCUGGUCUUGAAAUCCUGGCCUCAAGCAAUCCUCCUGCUUCAGCGUGGGAUUACAAGCAUGAGCCACUGUGCCCAGCCUAUACAGCCAUUUAAAAUGAUUGUAUAGCUCUAUAAUAAAUGAAUAACAUACAUACCAUAAUAAAAGAAUAAAGCAGGAUAUGAAGUAGCAUGAUUAAUGGAAUCUCAUUUUUGAAAAUCAAAUAUGUUUAUAUGUACAUAGAAAAAAUAUGGAAGGAUCUACCCCAUAAUGUUAGUUGAGCUCUGAAUGGUAGAUUUAGGAUUUUUUUUUUUUUUUUUUUUUUUUGAGACAGUCUCACUCUGUCACCCAGGCUGGAGUGCAGUGGCGUGGUCUCAGCUCACUGCAACCUCUGCCUCCCGGGUUCAGGUGAUUCUCUUGCCUCAGCCUCUGGAAUAGCUGGGAUUACAGGUGCCCGCCACCACACCUGGCUAAUUUUUGUAUUUUUAGUAGAGACGGGGUUUCUCUAUGUUGGCCAGGCUGGUUUUGAACGGCUGACCUUGUGAUCCGCCUGCCUCAGUUUCCCAAAGUGCUAGGAUUACAGGUGUGAGCCACCAUGCCCUACGAUUUAGGAUGUUUUUUGACUCUGAAAAAGAAAAAUUGUCUGAUUUUUCUUUUUCUGUUUUUAUUUUUACAGUGAGCUGAACACACAUCAUUUUUAUAACUGGGAAAAAUGUGCCACUAUUAUUUUGAAAAUUAAAUUCCUUGGAAAUAAAAAGCUAAACAUUCUACCAUCUUCCAUGUUAUUGUGGGUUUGUAUUUGCUUCUCUAAGAGAGUGAUUAGGAGAUGCUCUGAAGACUCUCAGCACACCAAAAGGAUAGCUAUUCUAAACAUUCCUUUUAGCACCUUCACAUACAUUCAAUGCAUUCCUCAAUGUAUCACCCAAUGCAUUCUUGUUGAAUAAGUGAAUGAGCAUUGAGAAGAAAAUCUGUGAUCAAUAUGCAAAGUGUUGCAAAAGAAGAACACUUUCAUAAGGAUGAGAAGUCAUAACAAUAGAAAAUAAUAACUUUCAAUUUCUUUUUCUUAGAUUCCUGGUAGCUGGAUUAAUUUGUGUUCAAAGUGAUUCACUGAGUCUAGUGAGAUCCUAGAACAAGGUUGGGGCUGUUUAAGUCACUCUAAGAGCUCCCUCCAGACAUUUCUGUCAGCCUGUCUACACCAUAUCUCUUUUCAUUAUUCUUGUUGCCUUUGGUGGCUGUCACAGACAGGAGAGCCAAAUAAUGCUCCUAGCAGCACAUAUCAUUUCUGCUUUGUCCAUCUCUUGCUCACUAUAAUAGGACAUUCUUCUUCCACAGAUAGAACAGAUUUCUGGUUCUUAGAAAGGCUUCCCAACCUCUGCCCAGGCGUUCAUUUUAUUUGUGAUUCAGAGAAUGGCUCUUGGCCAACACAAGAGAAUGCCAAUUCAGGGACUACUGUGGUUUGAAUGUCCCCUCUGAAACUCAUGUUGAAAUCUAAUUGCCAUUGUAAUAGUAUUAACAGUGGGACCUUUAAAAGGUGCUUAGGUCAUGAGGGGUCAUGAUGGAUUAAUGCUGUUGUCACUGGGAGUGGGGUCCCAAUAAAGGGAUGAAAUUUGGCCUGAUUUCCUGUCUCACACAUGAUAAAGGGAUGAUAUUCAGCCUGCUUUCCAGUCUCGCACGCCUGCUUGCCCUUCCGCCAUGUUAUGAUGCAGCCAGAAGGCCCUCACCAGAAGCAGCCCCUCAGCCUUGGACUUCCCAGCUUCCAGAACUGCACGAGGCUGGGGAGCUGGGGCGCUGCUGGUGGGCUUCAUGGUGCUGUGGUUCUGUCUAUUCUCAUCAGCCUGUGAGGCAAGAAAGUAUUGGCAGCACCUCACAGGCCUUGUCCUCUUCAUAGCCCCCUCCCGGGAGCCACAUCAGUCUCCAUUUCAG
rnacentral:lncRNA from 10 species